GUGGGGAAUAUUGGACAAUGGGGGGAACCCUGAUCCAGCCAUGCCGCGUGUGUGAAGAAGGCCUUUUGGUUGUAAAGCACUUUAAGCGAGGAGGAGGCUACUCUAGUUAAUACCUAGGGAUAGUGGACGUUACUCGCAGAAUAAGCACCGGCUAACUCUGUGCCAGCAGCCGCGGUAAUACAGAGGGUGCGAGCGUUAAUCGGAUUUACUGGGCGUAAAGCGUGCGUAGGCGGCUUUUUAAGUCGGAUGUGAAAUCCCCGAGCUUAACGUGGGAAUUGCAUUAGAUACUGGGAAGCUAGAGUAUGGGAGAGGAUGGUAGAAUUCCAGGUGUAGCGGUGAAAUGCGUAGAGAUCUGGAGGAAUACCGAUGGCGAAGGCAGCCAUCUGGCCUAAUACUGACGCUGAGGCACGAAAGCAUGGGGAGCAAACAGGAUUAGAUACCCUUGUAGUCC
rnacentral:rRNA from 1 species